rnacentral:rRNA from 1 species
GAGUAGGGCGGGACACGUGAUAUCCUGUCUGAAGAUGGGGGGACCAUCCUCCAAGGCUAAAUACUCCUGACUGACCGAUAGUGAACCAGUACCGUGAGGGAAAGGCGAAAAGAACCCCGGCGAGGGGAGUGAAACAGAACCUGAAACCGUGUACGUACAAGCAGUGGGAGCCUUCGUAAGAGGGUGACUGCGUACCUUUUGUAUAAUGGGUCAGCGACUUAUAUUCUGUAGCAAGGUUAACCGUAUAGGGGAGCCGAAGGGAAACCGAGUCUUAACCGGGCGUUAAGUUGCAGGGUAUAGACCCGAAACCCGGUGAUCUAGCCAUGGGCAGGUUGAAGGUUGGGUAACACUAACUGGAGGACCGAACCGACUAAUGUUGAAAAAUUAGCGGAUGACCUGUGGCUGGGGGUGAAAGGCCAAUCAAACCGGGAGAUAGCUGGUUCUCCCCGAAAGCUAUUUAGGUAGCGCCUCGUGAACUCAUCUCCGGGGGUAGAGCACUGUUUCGGCUAGGGGGCCAUCCCGGCUUACCAACCCGAUGCAAACUGCGAAUACCGGAGAAUGUUAUCACGGGAGACACACGGCGGGUGCUAACGUCCGUCGUGAAGAGGGAAACAACCCAGACCGCCAGCUAAGGUCCCAAAGUCAUGGUUAAGUGGGAAACGAUGUGGGAAGGCCCAGACAGCCAGGAUGUUGGCUUAGAAGCAGCCAUCAUUUAAAGAAAGCGUAAUAGCUCACUGGUCGAGUCGGCCUGCGCGGAAGAUGUAACGGGGCUAAACCAUGCACCGAAGCUGCGGCAGCGACGCUUAGGCGUUGUUGGGUAGGGGAGCGUUCUGUAAGCCUGCGAAGGUGUGCUGUGAGGCAUGCUGGAGGUAUCAGAAGUGCGAAUGCUGACAUAAGUAACGAUAAAGCGGGUGAAAAGCCCGCUCGCCGGAAGACCAAGGGUUCCUGUCCAACGUUAAUCGGGGCAGGGUGAGUCGACCCCUAAGGCGAGGCCGAAAGGCGUAGUCGAUGGGAAACAGGUUAAUAUUCCUGUACUUGGUGUUACUGCGAAGGGGGGACGGAGAAGGCUAUGUCAGCCGGGCGACGGUCGUCCCGGUUUAAGCGUGUAGGCUGACUUUCCAGGCAAAUCCGGAAAGUUAAGGCUGAGGCGUGAUGACGAGGCACCACGGUGCUGAAGUGACAAAUGCCCUGCUUCCAGGAAAAGCCUCUAAGCAUCAGGUAACAUUAAAUCGUACCCCAAACCGACACAGGUGGUCAGGUAGAGAAUACCAAGGCGCUUGAGAGAACUCGGGUGAAGGAACUAGGCAAAAUGGUGCCGUAACUUCGGGAGAAGGCACGCUGACAUGUAGGUGAAGCCCCUGCGGGUGGAGCUGAAGUCAGUCGAAGAUACCAGCUGGCUGCAACUGUUUAUUAAAAACACAGCACUGUGCAAACACGAAAGUGGACGUAUACGGUGUGACGCCUGCCCGGUGCCGGAAGGUUAAUUGAUGGGGUUAUCGCAAGAGAAGCUCCUGAUCGAAGCCCCGGUAAACGGCGGCCGUAACUAUAACGGUCCUAAGGUAGCGAAAUUCCUUGUCGGGUAAGUUCCGACCUGCACGAAUGGCGUAAUGAUGGCCAGGCUGUCUCCACCCGAGACUCAGUGAAAUUGAACUCGCUGUGAAGAUGCAGUGUACCCGCGGCAAGACGGAAAGACCCCGUGAACCUUUACUACAGCUUGACACUGAACAUUGAGCCUUGAUGUGUAGGAUAGGUGGGAGGCUUUGAAGCGUGGACGCCAGUCUGCGUGGAGCCAACCUUGAAAUACCACCCUUUAAUGUUUGAUGUUCUAACCUGGCGCCAUAAUCUGGCGUGGGGACAGUGUCUGGUGGGUAGUUUGACUGGGGCGGUCUCCUCCCAAAGUGUAACGGAGGAGCACGAAGGUCAGCUAAUCCUGGUCGGACAUCAGGAGGUUAGUGCAAUGGCAUAAGCUGGCUUGACUGCGAGAGUGACGGCUCGAGCAGGUGCGAAAGCAGGUCAUAGUGAUCCGGUGGUUCUGUAUGGAAGGGCCAUCGCUCAACGGAUAAAAGGUACUCCGGGGAUAACAGGCUGAUACCGCCCAAGAGUUCAUAUCGACGGCGGUGUUUGGCACCUCGAUGUCGGCUCAUCACAUCCUGGGGCUGAAGUAGGUCCCAAGGGUAUGGCUGUUCGCCAUUUAAAGUGGUACGCGAGCUGGGUUUAGAACGUCGUGAGACAGUUCGGUCCCUAUCUGCCGUGGGCGCUGGAGAAUUGAGGGGGGCUGCUCCCAGUACGAGAGGACCGGAGUGGACGCAUCACUGGUGUUCGGGUUGUCAUGCCAAUGGCACUGCCCGGUAGCUAAAUGCGGAAGAGAUAAGUGCUGAAAGCAUCUAAGCACGAAACUUGCCCCGAGAUGAGUUCUCCCUGAGACUAUAAGUCUCCUGAAGGAACGUUGAAGACGACGACGUUGAUAGGCCGGGUGUGUAAGCGCAGCGAUGCGUUGAGCUAACCGGUACUAAUGAACCGUGAGGCUUAACCUU